ACAAGCAGUGGAGUAUGUGGUUUAAUUCGAAGCAACGCGAAGAACCUUACCAGGGCUUGACAUCCCUUGAAGCAGCUAGAGAUAGCUGUGUCCUUCGGGACAAGGAGACAGGUGGUGCAUGGUUGUCGUCAGCUCGUGUCGUGAGAUGUUGGGUUAAGUCCCGCAACGAGCGCAACCCCUGUGGUUAGUUGCCAGCAAGUAGCGUUGGGCACUCUAGCCAGACUGCCGGUGAUAAAUCGGAGGAAGGUGGGGACGACGUCAAAUCAUCAUGCCCUUUAUGUCCUGGGCUACACACGCACUACAAUGGCCGUUACAACGGGAAGCGAAGGAGCAAUCCGGAGCAAAUCCCUUAAAGGCGGUCCCAGUUCAGAUUGUGGGCUGAAACUCGCCCACAUGAAGGCGGAAUUGCUAGUAAUUGCAGAUCAGCAUGCUGCAGUGAAUACGUUCCCGGGCCUU
rnacentral:rRNA from 1 species